GGCGAGGUAGUUUAAGUGAAUACUUGGUUUGCAUCCGAGAGGUUCUGUUUAUCAGAUUUCGUUA
rnacentral:tRNA from 1 species